UAUAUAUUCCUUCUGUCCAGAAUUUCUUGUCGUAUAAAUAGAUAGAAAUGAAUGUAUCUGGGACUAAAAUAAAUCUGGAUACAUUCAUUCCUACGACAAGUAUUUCUGGACGGAGGGUUAUUUC
rfam:Hordeum vulgare subsp. vulgare, WGS project CAJW01000000 data, contig: morex_contig_37054